AUGUGCACUGUGUGAAUGUUAGUCAGACCACAGUCUAGUGAGUCUUUCGCAAACGAGGCCCUAUAUUUGAAGAGGAGAGCACGCAGUCUUUCUCGUUCCUCGUCGGAAGGGAACCUGGCCAGAGACCCAGUGAUUCCAGCUCCAUCUUCAUCCAGGCCCUCUGAAAGCGUGAACAGUUCCACUGCUGUGUGUCGUGGUCAUAGCCAGGAAGCUGAGGAGGAGGACAGCCAGAGGCAGAUGGCAAUGGUUGGCCUGGUAAAGGGAAAAACAGUGUGUGAGUUGACUAUAUCUCCUACAUGUGUACAACCAAAUAAUAAAAUUAUUCACUAAAUGCUUACUUUCAGCUCUGCUUGUAGGUGGUGGCUGCAGCGGGCGCUGACUCGUCACUGUAGAUGUCCCCAGGGAAGAACGUUGCGCUGCAAACAUGGAAUUUUUAUUAAUUACAACAAAACAGAGAAGCAUGUCUGACAUCUGGACCCUGGGUUGUACUUGUUAAGACAGAAUCCUGCCGUAUCCAAAUGUUUGGAUCCUGCCAUGUGUCCUGCAUGUACCAUAUUGUAAAUUAAACCAUUAAAAAAAUGUUUUGAAAUGCAAAAGCUCACCUGGUCCUCUGGCAGUCGGUUCUGUUGGCAGGGAGCCUGACGCUUCUGGCACAAGGAACCUCAGUUGUUUUGGAAGUGGCACGGGUGUCUUCACAGGAGGACUGACUGGAGAGGCUAGAAUAAAAAAUAGAAUUAAUAGAUGAUUUAAUUUGAA
rnacentral:lncRNA from 1 species